UACGAAGGGGGCUAGCGUUGUUCGGAAUUACUGGGCGUAAAGCGCGCGCAGGCGGUUCUUCAAGUCAGUGGUGAAAGCCCGGAGCUCAACUCCGGAACUGCCAUUGAAACUGUAGAACUUGAGUACGAGAGAGGUGAGUGGAAUUCCCAGUGUAGAGGUGAAAUUCGUAGAUAUUGGGAAGAACACCGGUGGCGAAGGCGGCUCACUGGCUCGUAACUGACGCUCAGGCGCGAUAGCGUGGGGAUCAAACAGG
rnacentral:rRNA from 1 species